AUUGAACGCUGGCGGCAUGCCUAACACAUGCAAGUCGAACGGUAACAUGAAGCAUCUUGCUGCUUUGCUGCCUAGUGGCUGACGGGUGAGUCAUGUCUUCGAAACUACCUGCUGGAGGGGGAUCUCUACUGGAAACGGUACCUCAUACCGCAUAACUUCCCACUCCCAAAGAGCGGGCCCUUCGGUCCUCUUUCCAUCGGAUAUGCCCAGAUCGGUUUAGCUAGUAGGUGGUGUACCGGCACACCUAUGCGCCGAUCCCUAACUGGUCUGAAAGGAUGACCAGACAGACGGGAACUGAGACACGGUCGAGACUCCUACGAGAGGAAGCAGUGGGGAAUAUUGCGCAAGGGGGGAAAGGCGGAUGCAGGAAAGCCGGGUGUAUGAAGAGGGACUUAGGGUGGUAAAGUACUGUCAGCGGGGAGGAAGGGAGGAAAGUUAAUACCGGUGGUCAUUGACGGUACCGGCAGAAGAAGCACCGGCUAACUCCGUG
rnacentral:rRNA from 1 species